GGAACACAUGUUCUAGCAUCAGAAGAUGCUGCUACUAUACCCUCAAAGGGGAGCUGGAAGAGUAAGGCACGACUUCUAAGAGAAAGAGGCGGAAGCGUGCGUUAUUUUUACCAAAAAUUACAGAGAAGGAACAGAAAAAUCGCGCUCAGAAAAGAACGUGGGAGAAAGGUAGGAAGAACGAAAAAACUAUAUUGGGACUCUGA
rnacentral:lncRNA from 1 species